rnacentral:rRNA from 1 species
GACGAACGCUGGCGGCGUGCUUAACACAUGCAAGUCGAACGAAGUGGCGAACGGGUGAGUAAUACGUGGGUAACCUGCCCUCCUUUUUGGGAUAAGCCUUGGAAACGGGGUCUAAUACCGAAUAAAGGGGGAUGGGCUCGCGGCCUAUCAGCUGGUUGGUGGGGUGCUGGCCUACCACGGCGGUGACGGGUAGCCGGCCUGCGAGGGCAACCGGCGACAUAGGGACUGGGCUACGGCCCAGACUCAGAAGGGAGGAAGCAGUGGGUGAUAUUGAACAAGGGGCGAAAGCCUGAUGCAGCGACGCCGCGUGGGAGAUGAAGGCUGUCAGGUUGUAAACCUCGGUCGCUAUCGAAACGGUAGGUGGAGAAGAAGCGCCGGCUAACUACGUGCCAGCAGCCGCGGUAAUAC